rnacentral:rRNA from 1 species
UUGCGUCACAGCAUAUACCAAAAAAUACCACAUACUAAAACAACCUCUUACAACCACAUCAGUGCUAAUCUAUAAUAAUAUAGAAGAACUAAUGUUAGAACUAGUAACAAGAACAAAUCUCUGCGCAUAACUGUAAAUCAGUCACAGAAUAUCUACUGAAAAUUAACAGCUCAAUAUACACCUU